rfam:Oryza glumipatula chromosome 6, whole genome shotgun sequence.
UUUAAGUGCAGCCAUGAGUUUUUAUAUCCAAUUUUGAUCGUCCGUUUUAUUUGAAAUUUUUUAUGAUUAGUAUUUUUAUUGUUAUUAGAUGAUAAAAUAUGAAUAAUAAUUUAUACAUAAUUUAUGUUUUUUUAUUUUUUAAAAAAAAAGAUAAAUAAGACGGGCGAUUAAAAUUGAACAUAGAAACUUAUGGGUGCACUUAAA